CUCCACUGGCGAUCAGGGCACAUAGAAUCUCUACUACUGAUCCCUGACGCUGGCCAUCCCCCAACCCGUCGGCCCACGGACCCCAGCCCUGACCCCACCUCCUCCCAGCAUCUUACACAAGGAUUCUCACCACACUCCCCAGAGACUCGCCUGCCCAGGGCCCCUCUCUAACCCCAUAUAGCUCAGGUCUCUGAUCCAGAGACUGCAUCACCGACCUCUCCGACUACCUAUUUCCAGAUUAGAGUCCCUGAUCACAGAGGCAUUGUCUAAAAUAACUAGCUCUUACAACUAUGUCCACUUCAGGAACCGCCCUGUGAUGUCAGAACUUUGAGGCCGCCCGGCCAGGGCUGCACAUGCUCAGUGAGGUCGGCGCCCGCCAGUAACAAACAUGGCUCCCUGAAGCCGCUCAGGCUCAAGAGCAACAUGGAGGUCUGCACUUAAUCGCUCCUCUCCGGGGGCGGCCAUACCGAGGAGGCGUCUCUUCCGUGCAGGCAGGCUCUCCUGGGGACCUCAGAGAUUCUCUCCAGCGGCAGCGGAAAACGGACAAUGGGUGGAUUCGGGUCCAGAUUCUGGUAGGAGGGAGUUUGGGAUCGAGAUCUGGAAAAAAGCACUAGACUGGAAGAGGACGCGAUGGAGUCGGAGCCGCUGGCGGGGACAAAAACCAGAGGCCGGGGAAGGCGCCGGUGGGAGGCAAGGCACGGAUGGACUUUACCUGCGCACGCGUCGCAGCCAUCUCCGCGCACAGUGGUGGCCACCGCGACUGGUGCUGAAGUGUUGGCGCGUGCCGGGCGCUCCGCUGGGACCCGGGUUGCUGGCCCUGAGUCUCAGCUUUCUCAUCUGUACGGUUGGGACAAGUACAGUAACCCUCGCCCGUCAAGACGGGCCAGGGCUGUGGCGAGGGUCCACGCCUUAGAGCAGGUACCUAUCUUGUGCAGGGCCCUGAGAUGGGGUCUGACUCAGUUCCUGCGGGGAACUUCACCAGUGACCCAGUCAGUGCCCUUCAGUUAAAGACCACCAGGAGCACACUUGCAGGAGUAGGGCUGAUUGGAGCCAUUGUACAGUGUCGGGAACAUACCAGGACACUGAGAAUAGUGUCAUGUCAUAAGGACCCAGAGCAGAUGGACCCUGCUGUGAUGCACAAAGCACGUGCUCUCUACGGUUAAUGUCAUCCUUGGGAAGCCC
rnacentral:lncRNA from 10 species